CCCUGGUUAUCUACUUGAAGUCUGUCUCAUUCCGCAGCUUCACACAUUCAAAGGAGCACUACCACUUCUACGAGAUAUCAUCUUUCUCUGAAACCAAGGCCAAGCGCCUCAUCAAGGAGGCUGGUCAGGACCAAAAUGGAGGGAUGGGGAGGGAAGUGGGAUGGAUAGGUUCAGGCCUGAUGGACUGGCAGGCAAUGAGUUUGUGCAGCACAAUACUUGGCAGUUAAGCCGUGUGUAUCCCAGCGGCCUGAGGACAGACUCUUCCAACUACAACCCCCAGGAACUCUGGAAUGCAGGCUGCCAGAUGGUGGCCAUGAAUAUGCAGACUGCAGGGCUUGAAAUGGACAUCUGUGAUGGGCAUUUCCGCCAGAAUGGUGGCUGUGGCUAUGUGCUGAAGCCAGACUUCCUGCGUGAUAUCCAGAGUUCCUUCCACCCUGAGAGGCCCAUCAGCCCUUUCAAAGCCCAGACUCUCUUAAUCCAGGUGAUCAGCGGUCAGCAACUCCCCAAAGUGGACAAGACCAAAGAGGGGUCCAUUGUGGAUCCACUGGUGAAAGUGCAGAUCUUUGGUGUCCGUCUAGACACAGCACGGCAGGAGACCAACUAUGUGGAGAACAAUGGUUUUAAUCCAUACUGGGGGGAGACACUAUGUUUCCGGGUGCUGGUGCCUGAACUUGCCAUGCUGCGUUUUGUGGUAAUGGAUUAUGACUGGAAAUCCCGAAAUGACUUUAUUGGUCAGUACACCCUGCCUUGGACCUGCAUGCAA
rnacentral:sRNA from 1 species